GCUGCUUCCCACCUCCCAGAGAGCUUUCAAGGGCCGUGAGGAGACAUUUCAGCCUGGCACUCCUGCGCCUCCCACGUGGAAGGGAGCAGUCAAGGUGGACGGUCCAUGGUGCGUGACUUGAAGACCUGCAGGGCAGUGGCAGAGCCUCCCUCUGAGCGAGGAGUGGACUGGUCACGGCUGUAGCAGCAGCCUCUGCUCCCUGGCACUCCCAUGCCAGCUUCAUGACAUUGCCCUGGCCUCCUGGCUGCUCUUCUGCUCUCCUGGACCAAGCUGACAAGUCAGGGAAAGGCCCGGGCAGCCCGGACCCACCCAGCUCUGCGGCCCUGGCUAUAUCACCAGAGUGGCCUCAAACUCUGAAUCAGGGUUCAAAGCCACAAGCUGCCUCGCCCAGCCCCACGAUGGUCUUAUUGUCACAGACAAGGGAAAUGCCACAGCUUUCCUUGCUGGGCAUGUCACCAUUGCAGACCAGGGUGGGGUCUUAGGCAGGCGUUUCCCCCGGAGGUGGGUUUUCAUAUUUCUCUCUGAUCUCCUGUCUUAGCUGUCUGAAGCUGCCUUUUAGAGAUUUCCAGGUGGAACCUGACUUCUGGGCGGCUUCAACAAAUAAAUGAAAGAAGGGUGGCUCAGCCAGUGGCCACAACCUCAGUGCCAAGGGUGGCUUGCUCAGGACACCCGAAGAACCUGCCCAUGCUAAGGCAGGUCACUCUGAUUGCAGACGUUCACUGGGACUCCUAGGCACUGGCGUAGUGAGGGACAAGCUCUGUUCUGACAGAACCCAAGCAAGUUGGCUCAUGGGACCGGGCUAAUUUCAGACUCGCCCUAAGUGACAAUCUCCCUGAGGAGUAGGAACCUGAAAGUCACAAAGGAGGCAGCUAUGUGAGAAAGCCCUGCUAGCUGGAAACUUGGACCAGAGACGGUGGGCAGUGGACAGAGGGAAGUGGACAGCACUGGGGGCCGGUGACAGGCCUGAGGGGAAAGGCCAGGUCCACUUACCCUAAGCCCAACCAUGUUUGGCUUGCAUGGGACCAGGGUCAACCCUGGGUGGGGUGAAAAGCAGGGUGAGAGGGGCAUGGUCCCAGAAGCCCUUGCUCUGAAGCCGUGGUGCUCUUCCUGGUAGGUCUGUCCUGUGGAGAGCCGGAGACCUGUUAUUGCUAAGGUCCGCAGCGGCAGGGCCCCCUCCCGGGUGACAGGGGCUGGGGAGAGAAGCCCUGGCCGAGUGUGUCCAUGUGUCUGUGUAUCUGCAGGAGGAUGUGUUGGUGUGAGUCUGUGUCGCUCAUCAGUGGUUCGAGACAGCUCUGGGUGGUACCUCAGCCACCACGCCAAGGGCCACUGAGUCAUAGGGGAGAGGGCCCUUCCCUCCAACUCCACCCUCCAGUUACUUGAGGACGAUUCAUGCCCUCCUGCUGCUGUUUGCUGUCCCCUUUAGCUUUACACCCCUCCACAUUUGCAGAUCUUUUUUUUUCCCCCAGUGUGUGGCCCUUGUCCACACUAAGCAAGCCCUUGACUGCUGAGCCACAUGCCCAG
rnacentral:lncRNA from 1 species